UACGUAGGGGGCGAGCGUUGUCCGGAUUUACUGGGCGUAAAGCGCGUGUAGGCGGCCGGAUAAGUCGGGUGUGAAAGCCCGGGGCUCAACCCCGGGAUGCCGCCCGAGACUGCCCGGCUUGAGGACGGAAGAGGGGCGUGGAAUUCCUGGUGUAGCGGUGAAAUGCGUAGAUAUCUGGAGGAACACCGGUGGCGAAGGCGGCAUCCUGGACCGAGAUUGACGCUGAGGCGCGAAAGCCAGGGGAGCAAACGGG
rnacentral:rRNA from 1 species